UGGUGGUGAAUUGAGCCAUCCUGGAAUUCACGCCAAGGUAGAAAUAACAUUUUUUUUAAUUCCAAAAGGAGAACUGAAGGAGAGAGAGCUUAAUCACAUUAGGCACCUUCAACUCAAGCAUUGGAGCCCAGAGGCCUCCAGCAGCGGAGCUGGGACAGCACGUAAAGGAACUGAACUUAUGACCCACCCUGACUCCAAGAGACCACAAGCAGUUCCACCUUUGUGCCCCAGGAGGAUGGCAAGCCGUCAAGAUGGUACCUGACCCACUGUGCUCCAGAGAGAGACAUCCCACCACCCAGGACAUAGAAUACAGGUAAAAAGCUGCCCAGGCCUCAGAAGCCCAGGACACAGAUAAAGAAUCAGCAGUCAGCGGACAAAAGGAUGCUGGGAAAUCACCAGACUGCAGCUUCUAUCCGAUUAACCUUUUCCUGAAUUCCAGAUCCCCUACAUACACUUUUUACCCCCCAACAUUCCAAAUCCCUUACCUACACUUCCUUCCUCCUUAUAAAAAGGCUGGCUUGAAAGGAAAUGUAAGAUGGUCUGUUAGGGUACAUGACCCACCGUCUUCUCAGAUUGCUGGCCCUUUGAAUAAAGCGCCCGUGAGGAUUCA